rnacentral:rRNA from 1 species
GGGCCCGCACAAGCGGUGGAGCAUGUGGUUUAAUUCGAUGAUACGCGAGGAACCUUACCAGGGCUUAAAUGUAGUGGGACAGGUCUAGAGAUAGACCCUUCUUCGGACUCAUUACAAGGUGCUGCAUGGUUGUCGUCAGCUCGUGCCGUGAGGUGUCAGGUUAAGUCCUAUAACGAGCGAACCCCUAUCGUUAGUUGCCAGCGGGUAAUGCCGGGAACUCUAGCGAAACUGCCGGUGCAAACCGUGAGAAGGUGGGGAUGACGUCAAAUCAUCACGGCCCUUACGUCCUGGCUACACACGUACUACAAUGCUACGGACAAAGGGCAGCAAACUCGCGAGAGCUAGCA